ensembl:snoRNA LOC120102053 small nucleolar RNA SNORA17
UCUGUCCCUAGAAGGGUUGCACGUGUGGCUGCUGUGUCACGUGUGCAUUAGUACGGGACAGAGAGGAGAGAGAAAUAGUCUACAGUCAGUAUUCUGGCCUGUGAACAUCUGAAUGAUUAGCAAG